GAUAUGUUUCUAUCUAACUGCAAGUGGUGUGCUAUCCCUUAAUUAGCAACCAGUUUAAAUUAACUGACAAAACAUUUAAUAAUAACGCUUUAGCAUUUGCCUAAUUUGGCAAUAAAGCACUUUAAUCUUAUUUGCUUAUAGAUUUGAUUAGGGUUUAUAUAUAUAAGAUAUAUCAAUUGUUUUGUUUAGGAUAAUUGAUGAAUAUUUAUAAACUAUAUUAAUAAAUAUGAUUGUUAGACUCUUUUUUAUUAAUGAAUAAUUUGUUCUAACUAAACUUGUAGAUGUUGGAGAAGGAAGUAUUUUGGACGUGAGUUCAAUUCUCACCGGCUCCACCA
rnacentral:tmRNA from 1 species